UCUGAGGCUACGCAGGACUCUGACAGAAGAAUACGGCCAGGGGACUUACUGAGAGGUCCACAACUGUCUUGAUGGCCUUUUCUUUUCUCUUUAUGAAGUCAUCAUCCUACAAGACAAAACAGAGCGAUUAAACAAAUCCCAAGGGAAAAUUAAAACUCAAGUGGACCACUCAGAUAUGUCUUAUAAAUUGACUUCUCAUCUCAUCACUACUUUGCCUGACGAAGUCUCAAUUUUCGAACAAAUUGUAAUAUAUUCUCCAUGGGAAAAGGCUACAAACCCUGCAGAUGGCUCCAACAUAGAUCCCUACACAGCCAGUAAGAAAAAGGGGGUCAUAAGGAAUAGUGCUUAAGACGAGAGUUCUCAUUUCAAAUCCUCUUAAGCACUGAAACCUCAGCUCGUUUCACCAGCCACUGGGGAAGAAAGUGAAAAGACAAGAGUUGCUAAGGACAACAUCCCACUGAAGUGAAGGCCAGUUCAGACAUGGCCCAACUCAUGAACUCAAAUCAGCAUAGUUGAACUGACUAGGUGAUAAGAAGCUAUCAACACAUGCUGUUCUAUAGGAAAAGCAACCAGCUGGGUAUCCAAGAUGUUAAGAUCCAAUGGGACCUAGUGCUGAGUAGCCGUGCAGGAGCUUUAAAGCCUUACUUCACAUCCUUGAGCCUCAGUUUUCCUUUCUGUAAAAGUAUAUCAGUUCCCUUCACCUCACAGAGCUAACAUGGGAGUAAAUGAAAUCACAAGUAGUAGAGUGAUUUGUAAACACCUGAAGCACAAAACAAACAGAGCUAUCUCCCAACUUCCUGGUCCUACUGGCAGAUCUUCAUGUAAAUCUCUUUUUCUUGUGCUCCUUACACGACAGACCAGGGAAAAGGGAGAGAACCACAGAGAAUGCUAGUGUAACUCCCCAUUUGACAAGUGAAAAAAUGUCCAAAAUACUCAGAUUUGACAAUGGUGCAUACUGAGUACGCAGUUGAAGGCACUGGUUUAUCCUGACAUUCAUAACAUUCUCUCUUAAUCCUCACAAUGUCGGAUGGUACUGGCUGAGUUUUACUGAACCUGAAGUGCCGGGAGACUAUAUAACUUACU
rnacentral:lncRNA from 10 species